UACGAAGGGGGCUAGCGUUGUUCGGAAUUACUGGGCGUAAAGCGCGCGCAGGCGGCCAUUCAAGUCAGGGGUGAAAUCCCAGAGCUCAACUCUGGAAUUGCCUUUGAGACUGUAUGGCUUCGAGUACGGGAGAGGUGAGUGGAAUUCCCAGUGUAGAGGUGAAAUUCGUAGAUAUUGGGAAGAACACCGGUGGCGAAGGCGGCUCACUGGCCCGUUACUGACGCUCAGGCGCGACAGCGUGGGGAUCAAACAGG
rnacentral:rRNA from 1 species